rnacentral:tRNA from 1 species
AGAGACUUAGGAUAGCAUAUAGACCACAAGCCUUCAAAGCUUGGAGCAGGAGUGAAAAUCUCCUAGUCUCUG